ACAAAUAGACAGAAAACCAAUUUGAUAAAAAUACAAUGGAAGCAGACAAUUCUUCCAGCAUUUCUAAUCAGAAGAGAUACAUGCAAGUAGAUGGAGAAAGAUCCUGUAAAAGAACUGCCAGAAAAAAACAUGGAGAUUUGUUUGGAAAACUCCCACCAUCCACCAAUUAGUCUGGAAGAAAGGAACAAAAAUAAAUGAGACUGAAAAGCCAGAA